rnacentral:rRNA from 1 species
UACGGGGGGAGCAAGCGUUGUUCGGAUUUACUGGGCGUAAAGGGCGCGUAGGCGGUCGUGACAAGUCACUUGUGAAAUCUCCGGGCUUAACUCGGAACGGUCAAGUGAUACUGUCGGACUAGAGUACAGAAGGGGCGAACUGGAAUUCUCGGUGUAGCGGUGAAAUGCGUAGAUAUCGAGAGGAACACCUGCGGCGAAGGCGGGUUGCUGGGCUGAUACUGACGCUGAGGCGCGAAAGCCAGGGGAGCGAACGGG